AUGCCCCCACUCGCUACUCGUCGCACGCGCGCACGUAUGAGCCGACGCUCUCUGUAUAAAGCGGCCACUGUGCACAAGUCAAAUCGGCCAAGAGGAGAAGCCAAGCAAAGAAGCACAACACAUCUCUGUCUUCAUUCACACGCGCGUGCGCGCAAGAGAGAGAGAGAGAGAGAGAGGAUUCCUGGUUCGGUGGCGCUCGGCAAUGUGAUGGCGCAGCCGCGGCAGCAGCAACGACAACGGCGCCUCAUCGCGGCGCUCCUGGUGCUCCUCUCCCUCUGCUGCCUUGCUCGCCUCGGCGCCGCGGCUUCUGCAGCGAGGACUGACCCUGGCCGGAAGGAUGGAGCGGCAACUGCGCUGGACAAGGCCGAGUCACAGGAGGAGGAGGCAGCGCCCGGGUUCACGGUGACCACCGUGCAGGAGCAAGGGCGAGGGCGAGGACCGGUGAGGGUGGUGAUGGAGGUCGACAUCGAGGACUAUCCCCGGUAUGGCGCCAAUGGUCGGCACAACCCGGAGGGUCCGCACCCGUGA
rnacentral:rRNA from 1 species